rnacentral:rRNA from 1 species
UACGUAGGGGGCCAGCGUUGUCCGGAUUUAUUGGGCGUAAAGAGCGUGUAGGCGGCCAUACAGGUCAGCUGUGAAAACUCGAGGCUCAACCUCGAGACGUCGGUUGAAACCGUAUGGCUAGAGUCCGGAAGAGGAGAGUGGAAUUCCCGGUGUAGCGGUGAAAUGCGCAGAUAUCGGGAGGAACACCAAUGGCGAAGGCAGCUCGCUGGGACGGUACUGACGCUGAGGCGCGAAAGCUAGGGGAGCGAACAGG